UACAUAGGGGGCAAGCGUUAUCCGGAAUUAUUGGGUGUAAAGGGUGCGUAGACGGGAUAACAAGUUGGUUGUGAAAACCCUCGGCUCAACUGAGGACUUGCAACUAAAACUAUUAUUCUUGAGUGCAGGAGGGGAAAGUGGAAUUCCUAGUGUAGCGGUGAAAUGCGUAGAUAUUAGGAAGAACACCAGUGGCGAAGGCGACUUUCUGGACUGUAACUGACGUUGAGGCACGAAAGUGUGGGGAGCAAACA
rnacentral:rRNA from 1 species